rnacentral:rRNA from 1 species
AGGCUCUUGUUAUCCAAAAACCCCGAGGGGGUUUCACAAAAGAGUUUAGGUUGUCCUUCGGCGGCGCUUUGGUCUGGGUUGGACGCACCCGGGCAGAGAUCCCGCCGGGGCAACAGUUUGGUAACGUUCACAUUGGGUUUUGGAGUUGUCAACUCCGGUAAUGAUUCUCCGUAGGGGUGACCUGCGGAGGGAUCAUUACGUCGAGGUUUACAACUCCCAAACCCAAUGUGAACGUUACCAAACUGUUGCCUCGGCGGGAUCUCUGCCCCGGGUGCGUCGCAGCCCCGGACCAAGGCGCCCGCCGGAGGACCAACCUAAAACUCUUUUUGUAUACCCCCUCGCGGGUUUUUUAUAAUCUGAGCCUUCUCGGCGCCUCUCGUAGGCGUUUCGAAAAUGAAUCAAAACUUUCAACAACGGAUCUCUUGGUUCUGGCAUCGAUGAAGAACGCAGCGAAAUGCGAUAAGUAAUGUGAAUUGCAGAAUUCAGUGAAUCAUCGAAUCUUUGAACGCACAUUGCGCCCGCCAGUAUUCUGGCGGGCAUGCCUGUCCGAGCGUCAUUUCAACCCUCGAACCCCUCCGGGGGGUCGGCGUUGGGGAUCGGCCCUCCCUUAGCGGGUGGCCGUCUCCGAAAUACAGUGGCGGUCUCGCCGCAGCCUCUCCUGCGCAGUAGUUUGCACACUCGCAUCGGGAGCGCGGCGCGUCCACAGCCGUUAAACACCCAACUUCUGAAAUGUUGACCUCGGAUCAGGUAGGAAUACCACAGCUGAACUUAAGCAUAUCAAAACCCGGAGGAA